rnacentral:rRNA from 1 species
UCCCAGACUCCUACGGGAGGCAGCAGUGGGGAAUAUUGCACAAUGGGGGAAACCCCGAUGCAGCGACGCCGCGUGAGUGAAGAAGUAUUUCGGUAUGUAAAGCUCUAUCAGCAGGGAAGAAAAUGACGGUACCUGACUAAGAAGCCCCGGCUAACUACGUGCCAGCAGCCGCGGUAAUACGUAGGGGGCAAGCGUUAUCCGGAUUUACUGGGUGUAAAGGGAGCGUAGACGGCUGUGCAAGCCAGAUGUGAAAGCCCGGGGCUCAACCCCGGGACUGCAUUUGGAACUGUGUGGCUGGAGUGUCGGAGAGGCAGGCGGAAUUCCUAGUGUAGCGGUGAAAUGCGUAGAUAUUAGGAGGAACACCAGUGGCGAAGGCGGCCUGCUGGACGAUGACUGACGUUGAGGCUCGAAAGCGUGGGGAGCAAACAGGAUUAGAUACCCCGGUAA